UUAAAUUGAAGAGUUUGAUCAUGGCUCAGAUUGAACGCUGGCGGCAGGCCUAACACAUGCAAGUCGAACGGUAACAGGAAGCAGCUUGCUGCUUCGCUGACGAGUGGCGGACGGGUGAGUAAUGUCUGGGAAACUGCCUGAUGGAGGGGGAUAACUACUGGAAACGGUGGCUAAUACCGCAUAACGUCGCAAGACCAAAGAGGGGGACCUUCGGGCCUCUUGCCAUCAGAUGUGCCCAGAUGGGAUUAGCUUGUUGGUGAGGUAACGGCUCACCAAGGCGACGAUCCCUAGCUGGUCUGAGAGGAUGACCAGCCACACUGGAACUGAGACACGGUCCAGACUCCUACGGGAGGCAGCAGUGGGGAAUAUUGCACAAUGGGCGCAAGCCUGAUGCAGCCAUGCCGCGUGUAUGAAGAAGGCCUUCGGGUUGUAAAGUACUUUCAGCGGGGAGGAAGGUGUUGUGGUUAAUAACCACAGCAAUUGACGUUACCCGCAGAAGAAGCACCGGCUAACUCCGUGCCAGCAGCCGCGGUAAUACGGAGGGUGCAAGCGUUAAUCGGAAUUACUGGGCGUAAAGCGCACGCAGGCGGUCUGUCAAGUCGGAUGUGAAAUCCCCGGGCUCAACCUGGGAACUGCAUUCGAAACUGGCAGGCUUGAGUCUUGUAGAGGGGGGUAGAAUUCCAGGUGUAGCGGUGAAAUGCGUAGAGAUCUGGAGGAAUACCGGUGGCGAAGGCGGCCCCCUGGACAAAGACUGACGCUCAGGUGCGAAAGCGUGGGGAGCAAACAGGAUUAGAUACCCUGGUAGUCCACGCCGUAAACGAUGUCUACUUGGAGGUUGUGCCCUUGAGGCGUGGCUUCCGGAGCUAACGCGUUAAGUAGACCGCCUGGGGAGUACGGCCGCAAGGUUAAAACUCAAAUGAAUUGACGGGGGCCCGCACAAGCGGUGGAGCAUGUGGUUUAAUUCGAUGCAACGCGAAGAACCUUACCUGGUCUUGACAUCCACGGAAGUUUUCAGAGAUGAGAAUGUGCCUUCGGGAACCGUGAGACAGGUGCUGCAUGGCUGUCGUCAGCUCGUGUUGUGAAAUGUUGGGUUAAGUCCCGCAACGAGCGCAACCCUUAUCCUUUGUUGCCAGCGAUUAGGUCGGGAACUCAAAGGAGACUGCCAGUGAUAAACUGGAGGAAGGUGGGGAUGACGUCAAGUCAUCAUGGCCCUUACGACCAGGGCUACACACGUGCUACAAUGGCGCAUACAAAGAGAAGCGACCUCGCGAGAGCAAGCGGACCUCAUAAAGUGCGUCGUAGUCCGGAUUGGAGUCUGCAACUCGACUCCAUGAAGUCGGAAUCGCUAGUAAUCGUGGAUCAGAAUGCCACGGUGAAUACGUUCCCGGGCCUUGUACACACCGCCCGUCACACCAUGGGAGUGGGUUGCAAAAGAAGUAGGUAGCUUAACCUUCGGGAGGGCGCUUACCACUUUGUGAUUCAUGACUGGGGUGAAGUCGUAACAAGGUAACCGUAGGGGAACCUGCGGUUGGAUCACCUCCUUACCUUAAAGAAGC
rnacentral:rRNA from 1 species